ensembl:lncRNA
GUUUUCUCUUCCAAAUCCCCCAUUUAACUUGAAAAUCACGCGUUUUCUCUUCGCAAAUCCCCAUUUAAGCGAAAAUCACGCGUUUUCUCUUCGCAAAUCCCCCAUUUAAGCGAAAAUCACGCGUUUUCUCUUCGAAAUCCCCAUUUAAGCGAAAAUCACGCGUUUUCUCUUCGCAAAUUCCCCAUUUCACCCGAAAAUCACGCGUUUUCUCUUCGAAAUCCCCAUUUAACGAAAAUCAGCGUUUUUCCUCCAUUUAAGAAAUCAUUUUCUCUUUGGAAAUCCCCAAUUUAAUGUGAAUAUCAUGUGUUUUAUCUUUGCAAAUCCCCCAUUUCACCUGAAAAUCACGCGUUUUCUUUUCGCAAAUCCCCCAUGUAAGAGAAAAGCACCUGUUCUCUCUUUGGAAAUCCCCCAUUUAACCCUGAAAAUCACGCAUUUUCUCUUUGAGAAUCUUCUAUUUAAGCGAAAAUCACGCGUUUUCUUUUCGGAAAUCCCCCAUUUAACCCGAAAAUCAUGAUUUUUCUCUUUGCAUAUCCCCCAUUUAAGCGAAUAUCAUGCGUUUUCUCUUUGGAAAUCCCCCAUUUCACCCGAAAAUCACGCGUUUCCUCUCUGCAAAUCCCCCAUUUAACGAAAAUCACACGUUUUCUCUUCGAGAAUCCCCCAUUUAAGCGAAAAUCACGUGUUUUCUCUUCGCAAAUCCCCCAUUUAAGCGAAAAUCAGCGUUUUCCUGUCAAAAAUCCCCCAUUUAAACGAAAAUCACGUAACUUAUCUUCGAGAAUCCCACAUUUAAGCCGAAAAUCACGCGUUUUCUCUUCGCAAAUCCCCCAUUUAAGCGAAAAUCAUGCGUUUUCUCUUGAGAAUCCCCCAUUUAAGCGAAAAUCACGCGUUUUCUCUUCGCAAAUCCCCCAUUUAAGCGAAAAUAAUGCGUUUAUUCUUUGCGAAUACCCCCAUUUAACCCGAAAAUCAUGCAUUUUCUCUUCGCAAAUCCCCCAUUUAAGCGAAAAUCACACGUUUUCUCUUCAAGAAUCUUCUAUUUAAGCGAAAAUCACGCGUUUUCUUUUCAGAAAUCCCCCAUUUAACCCGAAAAUCACGCGUUUUCUCUUCGCAAAUCCCCCAUUUAAGCGAAAAUCACGCGUUUUCUCUUCGCAAAUCCCCCAUUUAACCCGAAAAUCACGCCUUUUCUCUUCGCAAAUCCCCCAUUUAAGCGAAAAUCACGCGUUUUCUCUUCAAAUCCCC